rnacentral:rRNA from 1 species
UAGGGAAUCUUCGGCAAUGGACGAAAGUCUGACCGAGCAACGCCGCGUGAGUGAUGAAGGUUUUCGGAUUGUAAAACUCUGUUGUUAGAGAAGAACAAGGACGUUAGUAACUGAACGUCCCCUGACGGUAUCUAACCAGAAAGCUACGUCUAACUACGUGCCAUCAGCCGCGGUAAUACGAAGGUGGCAAGCGUUGUCCGGAUUUAUUGGGCGUAAAGCGAGCGCAGGCGGUUUCUUAAGUCUGAGGUGAAAGCCCCCGGCUCAACCGGGGAGGGUCAUUGGAAACUGCGGGACUUGAGUGCAGAAGAGGGGAGUGGAAUUCCGUGUGUAGGGGUGAAAUGCGUAGAUAUAUGGAGGAACACCAGUGGCGAAGGCGGCUCACUGGUCUGUGACUGACGCUGAGGCUCGAAAGCGUGGGGAGCAAACAGG